rnacentral:rRNA from 1 species
AAUGAACGCUGGCGGCGCGCCUAAUACAUGCAAGUCGAGCGAGAAGACGUAGCAAUACGUUUGUAAAGCGGCGAACGGGUGAGGAAUACAUGGGUAACCUACCCUAGAGUGGGGAGUAACUAGCCGAAAGGUUAGCUAAUACCGCGUACGCUCCUUGGACUUCGGUUCAGGGAGGAAAGCGAUACCGAGGGUAUCGCGCUCUUGGAUGGGCUCAUGUCCUAUCAGCUUGUUGGUGAGGUAACGGCUCACCAAGGCUUCGACGGGUAGCUGGUCUGAGAGGACGAUCAGCCACACUGGCACUGCGACACGGGCCAGACUCCUACGGGAGGCAGCAGUAAGGAAUAUUGCGCAAUGGGCGAAAGCCUGACGCAGCGACGCCGCGUGGGGGAGUGAAGGUCUUCGG